UGAGUUUGAUCCUGGCUCAGGACGAACGCUGGCGGCGUGCUUAACACAUGCAAGUCGAACGGGCUUAGUGUAGCAAUAUGCUAAGUUAGUGGCGAACGGGUGAGUAACACGUGACCAAUCUGCCCCGGACUGGGGAACAACGGAGGGAAACUUCCGCUAAUACCGCAUAUUGAGCGUGGCCCACAUGGGCUGUGCUUGAAAGCUUCGGCGGUCCGGGAUGAGGUCGCGCCCCAUUAGCUUGUUGGCGGGGUAACAGCCCACCAAGGCGACGAUGGGUAGCUGGUCUGAGAGGACGAUCAGCCACACUGGGACUGAGAUACGGCCCAGACUCCUAUGGGAGGCAGCAGUGAGGAAUAUUGCGCAAUGGACGAAAGUCUGACGCAGCAACGCCGCGUGAGGGAUGAAGGUGCUCUGCAUUGUAAACCUCUGUAGGGAGGGACGAAUCGCCCGGUGUUCCGGGCAUUGACGGUACCUCUAAAGUAAGCACCGGCUAACUCCGUGCCAGCAGCCGCGGUAAUACGGAGGGUGCAAGCGUUGUCCGGAUUUACUGGGUGUAAAGGGCGCGUAGGCGGGGGAUCAUGUCGGAAGUGAAAUCGUACGGCUUAACCGUAGCAAUUGCUUCCGAAACGGGUCCUCUUGAAUGCAGGAGAGGCAGAUGGAAUUCCUGGUGUAGCGGUGGAAUGCGUAGAUAUCAGGAAGAACACCGGUGGCGAAGGCGGUCUGCUGGCCUGUGAUUGACGCUGAGGCGCGAAAGUGUGGGGAGCAAACAGGAUUAGAUACCCUGGUAGUCCACACCGUAAACGAUGGUCACUAGAUGUCGGAGGAUUCGACCCCUUUCGGUAUCGACGCUAACGCAUUAAGUGACCCACCUGGGGAGUACGCCCGCAAGGGUGAAACUCAAAGGAAUUGACGGGGGCCCGCACAAGCGGUGGAGCAUGUGGUUUAAUUCGAUGCAACGCGAAGAACCUUACCUGGGCUCGAAGCGUGGUGUAAACCCAUGAAAGUGGGGUAUCCCUUCGGGGAGCGCCACGUAGGUGCUGCAUGGCUGUCGUCAGCUCGUGUCGUGAGAUGUUAGGUUAAGUCCUGCAACGAGCGCAACCCUUGUCCUUAGUUGCCAACAGGUCAAGCUGGGAACUCUAAGGAGACUGCCGCCGUUAAGGCGGAGGAAGGUGGGGAUGACGUCAAGUCAUCAUGGCCCUUAUGGGUAGGGCUACACACGUGCUACAAUGGCCGGUACAAAGGGAAGCGAAGUCGCGAGACGGAGCGAAUCCUCAGAGGCCGGUCGUAGUCCGGAUUGGAGUCUGCAACUCGACUCCAUGAAGUCGGAAUCGCUAGUAAUCGUGGAUCAGCAUGCCACGGUGAAUACGUUCCCGGGCCUUGUACACACCGCCCGUCACGCCAUGGGAGUGGGUUGUACCAGAAGUCAGUUGGCUAACCGAAAGGAGGCCGCUGACCACGGUAUGGUUCAUGACUGGGGUGAAGUCGUAACAAGGUAGCCGUAGGGGAACCUGCGGCUGGAUCACCUCCUUUCU
rnacentral:rRNA from 1 species